AACAACGCUGGCGGCGUGCCUAACACAUGCAAGUCGUACGAGAAAGUCGGCUUCGGCCGAUGAGUACAGUGGCGCACGGGUGAGUAACGCGUGGGUAAUCUGCCCCCCGGUCAGGAAUAACCCGCCGAAAGGCGGGCUAAUACCCGAUAACACUGACGCUCUGCGGAGCGUCUUUCAAAGAAGGCCUCUGUUUACAAGCUUUCGCCGGAGGAUGAGCCCGCGUACCAUUAGCUAGUUGGCAGGGUAAUGGCCUACCAAGGCAACGAUGGUUAGCUGGUCUGAGAGGAUGGCCAGCCACACUGGAACUGAGACACGGUCCAGACUCCUACGGGAGGCAGCAGUGAGGAAUCUUGCGCAAUGGGGGAAACCCUGACGCAGCAACGCCGCGUGAGUGAGGAAGGCCUUCGGGUCGUAAAGCUCUGUCAGAUGGGAAGAAAUGGAUGGGGGCUAAUAUCGUCCAUCCUUGACGGUACCAUCAGAGGAAGCACCGGCUAACUCCGUG
rnacentral:rRNA from 1 species